UACAGAGGUCCCGAGCGUUGUUCGGAUUCACUGGGCGUAAAGGGUGCGUAGGUGGCAUGGCCAGUUUGAUGUGAAAGCUCAGGGCUUAACCUUGAAAUGGCAUUGAAUACUGCUGUGCUGGAGGUUUGGAGGGGGGACUGGAAUUCUUGGUGUAGCAGUGAAAUGCGUAGAUAUCAAGAGGAACACCAGUGGCGAAGGCGAGUCCCUGGACAACACCUGACACUGAGGCACGAAAGCCGGGGGAGCAAACAGG
rnacentral:rRNA from 1 species